rnacentral:lncRNA from 1 species
GCUUUGCAGCAUAUAGCCCAGGAUUUCCUUAGGUAAUUUCUAGAAAAGUCUAGGUAAUGCUGUAGGCAGUGAAAGCAGUGGCCACUAUUCUGCUCUGUCUCUCCUGUUUGAGAAGCAUUGGAAUGAGGCCCAGCCUGGACCCUUAGGGGGAAAAACGGACACAGAAUUUACAAACACGGAGGCAUGUAUUUAGUUACCUCUUUUUUCUUCUUUCAUGAUUUGUGCUUUCGAGACAGGAUCUCACUUUGUAGCUCAGGUUGGCCUUAAGCUCCCCAUCCUCCUGCCUGCACCUCUCUAGUCCUGGAAUAUCACGUGUGAGUCGCCACCUGGCAGGGGUCGUGGUAGUUAGGUACUAAAAUGCUCCUUUACAGAUGCAAACCAAUAGGGAUAUGUUCAAAGCGUGAAUCCCCCACAUAACCUGCAGAGGGGCAACAAUGUCAGGCAGUGCACAGACUGGAAAAAGGGGGUCCAGGCAGGCACAGGUCAGGAAGAUACCUAGCAAUGAUCUGACUUGAGGACCGGACCCCUCCAGGUCACAAUACCCUUUUCUUUCAGCUCACCUGUUCUUCUGGACCAGCCCUGCUCGAAGGCUGGGGCUCAGAACCAGGCCCCAAGAGGCCAGGCCCCAAUCUGCCCCAGUCCCAGAAAAGUUACUCCAUCACCCAUCCCCCUCCCCUGGCCUGCUGGGGCCUGGCUUUGGGGCAAGAUUGAGCCACAGGGGAAAGGGGACCCCAUACCUGCUGCUGCUUCCUCUGUCUUGGCUAACUCUAGUCCCCCUCCCCGAGCCCCUAACCAUACCUGAAGAACUCCCAAAGCUUGAGACCAGGGCCAAUUGGCCCCAACGUCCUGCCUGGCCCCGCUGUUGCAAGUCUGUGUUAUUUAUUACCUGGAGGCCUGUUCCAUCCUGUCCCAGUCCUCCAUAAAGCAUUGUUUACACCUG